rnacentral:lncRNA from 10 species
CCAUCUAUGCCGCCUGUUCUGAUGACUGCCUUCCCUCACUGCCCAUUUAGCAGGGAUGGGCUACAAGUCAUUUCCCCUUAGAUGCCUGGACACCACUUCUAUGUCCCUACAACAUACAAUGGGGGAUCUUGUUAGGUUUAAGGACUCAGACUCACAGGACAGGUCUAGGCCACACUUGUCAUUCAGUUACUUAGAAGGAUGUCAGCAGCGCCAAACCUUUCCCUCCAGGGUGAGUCCUCGCAGUCAUCCAGGAGAUACUCUCUUUGUCAGAGCCACAGGUGCUGGAGAAAGAGGCUCCCAUUAGGUGGGUGUGGGUCAUCCAGGCUUAGAAGCCCAUGACCUGCAGGAGUCAGCAUCUCUGGUAACAACUCUGCAGGCAUGCCUUCCAGUGUUUCUGCAAGUGACAUGUGAGUUGCUGUUUUAAGAGCUGCCACAUCUGGGUAUGGUGGCUCACGCCUGUAAUCCCAACACUUAGGGAGGCUAAGGCGGGUGGAUCACCUGAGGUCAGGAGUUCAAGACUAGCCUGGCCAACAUAGUGAAACACUGUCUCUACUAAAAAUACAAAAAAUUAGCCGGGUGUGGUGGCGCACGCCUCUAGUCCCAGCUCCUAAGGAGGCUGAGGCAGGAGAAUCACUUGAACCCGGGAGGCAGAGGUUUGCAGUGAGCCGAGAUCGCGUGGUUGAACUCCAGCCCGGGCAACAACAGCAAAACUCCAUCUCCAAAAAAAAAGAAAAAAGAAAAGAAAAGAGCUGCUACAUGGCCAGGCAUGGUGGCUUAUGCCUGUAAUCCCCGCACUUUGGAAGGGAAGGCAGGAGGAUCACUUUGAGCCCAAGAGUUCAAGACCAGCCUUGGCAACACAGUGAGACCUCCCCCUCUUCAAAAAAUUUAAAAAUCAGCCAGUCAUGGUGGUGCACACCUGUAAUUCCAGCUACUCAGGAGAGUGAGGCAGGAGGAGGAUGCCUAGAGCCCAGGAGGUCAAGGCUGCAGGGAGCUAUGUUUACGCCACUGUAUACCCUAGCCUGGGCAACAGAAUGAGACCCUGUCUCAAAAAAUAAAAAAGAGGCUGGGCGCGGUGGCUCACACCUGUAAUCCCAGCACUUUGGGAGGCCAAGGCAGGUGGAUCAUGAGGUUAGGAGAUCGAGACCAUCCUGGCUAACACAGUGAAACCCUGUCUCUACUAAACAAUACAAAAAAUUGGCCAGGCGUGGUGGCAGGUGCCUGUAGUCCCAGCUACUCCGGAGGCUGAGGCAGGAGAAUGGCAUGAACCCAGGAGGCAGAACUUGCAGUGAGCUGAGAUUGCACCACUGCUCUCCAACCUGGGCGACAGAGUGAGACUCCGUCUCAAAAAAUAAAUAAAUAAAUAAAUAAAUAAGAAAAAUUUGCUACAAAGCAUUCCCAUCAGCUGUUUACUGUGUAGUCCUGUUACCCCCUUGAUCCUGCCCAGAAGCAAUCUAACAAUCAGCAGUCAUUUUUAUUUUCAUCAUCAGCAAUGUUACUAAGAGCCAUAGGUGACAGUCUACCUGUAUCAGAUUUCCAGGGGAACAGAGCUAAGAAGUUCACUGGAAGUCAGAUUUUCAUACAGAAGAGGAAAAGAUUUUGUGAACUCAGUGUCCACAAUUCCCAAAUGCUAAAAGAAUUUUAGCAGUUUUCUUUGUCAUCCAUAGACGGUUUUCUUUCUUCCAGUCCUACGAGUGUCAGAGACAGCCCUCAAAUAAUAGCAGACAGGCCUUUUUUGCCUUUCAGAUGCCUUUCCCCCUCUGCGAUGGUGAUAUAAGUACUCCCAAAACACUGUUUCUACUACUCUCACGCUCUUCAUGCAGCCUGACUAUAAGAUGCGCUAUUCCACCUUUCAUCCCUGGUAUCCCAUACGGCGCUAGAUGUAAGAGAAUGUCAGUGCUCAGGAAACGUGUGAGCAAAUGAAUGAAUGAAUGAAUGAAAGGGGGAUGAGCCAUCUAAGUGCCUUAUCCCUUUUCUCACAUUGCCCCUAGAUUUGGGUACCUGGCUGAGUUUGGGGCUGGCAGCCUUCAGCACACCAAUGGUGUCAAUGGCAGGUGUGCAUGGGACAAGAACAUAUGCUGUCAUGAUUGUGCUACAGUUUCUUUAAGAACACCAGGUGACCGCGCAGGCCUGGGGGGAUGACUCACACUCGUCACGCCAAAGCCAAAGGAUCAGGCUGACCCCCCAUAAAGUCAGAUAGCACAGAGGGGAUGCCCCCAUGCCAUUUUUCCAUCUGCUUCUUUGGGAAAAGGCGAGCCAGGCAGUGGCUCUAUGACCCCUCUCCACUCUCACUGAGUGGAGUUCAGUCCUCAACUGAGAAACCCCUACAUUUUAACAUAGUCAUACUGGCAACAACUACAACUUAGCAGGUCUUACUGGUGCUUUAUAACCAUUAUCUCAAGUAAUCCCCCCUGUCAUCGCCCCAUUUUAUACAGAAGAAAUCUCUUUGUGUUUCUCUUGGUCACUGCACUGUGAUAAGUUGAACCCAUAAUGUUAACCAAUAAAGUAGCCACACAGACAGAAGUCACGACAGGAAAUAAAUCCCUAAGGUAAAAGACAAUUCCCUGGCAAUUGUGUGUAGCAACAAUCCCUGCCCUUUACUCCUCUACCCAAGAUCUUGCUUGUUUCUUUCUAAGUUGCCUCUCUAUCUAGCUUGCAGGAUUUGAGUUGAGGAAAACACAGACUUCCAUGAGUUUGGGAACUACGAGAGAAAAGACAGACAGAGUCAAAUCUACAGCAUAUCUCUCACCUCAGGAACUGGAAGAUGUAUUUUAUCAAUAUGAUGUAAAGUCUGAAAUAUACAGGUACACUCACGUUCUGGUACAGAUUCUAACUCAGAUGUGCAUAAUAGGAAAACCCAAAUCAAACUCCUCCAAGGACCACCUAAACUCAACUCUGUUGAAUGAAAUUGGGUAGUAAUCAAAAAAUUCACUGAGUUUUCUGGCAGUGGCUAGAGGGACAGGGGAAAGGGGAGACUAGUUAUGGUUGUUCAGUUUCUUGGUUUUCUUUUAGCUUUGGAAUCGUCCUCUGGGAAAUCGCCACUGGAGAUAUCCCGUUUCAAGGCUGUAAUUCUGAGAAGAUCCGCAAGCUGGUGGCUGUGAAGCGGCAGCAGGAGCCACUGGGUGAAGACUGCCCUUCAGAGCUGCGGGAGAUCAUUGAUGAGUGCCGGGCCCAUGAUCCCUCUGUGCGGCCCUCUGUGGAUGAAAUCUUAAAGAAACUCUCCACCUUUUCUAAGUAGUGUAUCAAAAUCUAAACCAAGGAGUCUCUGGACAAGAAGCUGGGAGAGGCACAAACUGGACAUCUCUCUCUCUCAUAUCCUUCGGCAUUGGGUUAUCUAUGGGUGCAAGGAGUGGGCACGCUUCUCUGUUACAAAUAGAAAACGAUUCCAGUCAUACAGGACACAUCCCACUCCAAAUGAUAUUUCCAAAAACAUACCUCUGACAGUAACUUUGAUAGAUGGUUUGUCAAAUGUAUCUUUCUGGGUAUCCACACCUCUUGGCAAUGAAAUUUGCAGCUCCUCCCUUCCAUAAAUGAAGUCUCUUUCCCCACCAUUUGAAUCUGGGCUGGCACUGUGACUUGAUUUGAUCAAUAGAAUGUGGAAGAAGUGACUGUAUGCCAGUUCCAAGCCUAGGUUUCAAGAGGCCUUAUAAAUGUCUGUUGGAACCUUACCCAGCCAUGAACAUGUUGAGUGAGCAUGCUGGAGAAUGAGAGACCACAUGAAGCAGAAACAUGCUUUCCUAGCUGAAGUCAUACUAGCCCAACCAACAUGGCAGCUAACACAUGAAUGAGGCCAAUCAAGACCAGAAGAACCACUCAAGCAGAUCCCAGCCCAAAUUGCCCAUUCACACAAUCAGGAGCUAAAUAAAUUACUGUUGUCUUAACACU